rnacentral:misc_RNA from 1 species
AACGCACCUUGCGCUCCUUGGUAUUCCGAGGAGCAUGCCUGUUUGAGUGUCAUUAAAUUCUCAACUAUACCAGUUUCUGAAACUCGUAUAGCUUGGAUCUUGGGAUUUGCGGGCUUUUCACAAAGUCGGCUAUCCUUAAAUGCAUUAGCAGAGCUUUUGCCGCUAACCCCUGGUGUGAUAAUUAUCUACGCCAUCGAGUUGCGACAUAUCGAGGCUUAGCUUCUAAUCGUCCGCAAGGACAAUUUUUGACAAUCUGACCUCAAAUCAGGUAGGACUACCCGCUGAACUUAA